UACGUAGGGGGCAAGCGUUAUCCAGAUUUACUGGGCGUAAAGCGCGUGUAGGCGGCUGGUUAGGCGUGAUGUGAAAUCUUCCGGCUCAACCGGAAAACUGCAUUGCGAACCGGCCUGGCUAGAGUGCAGGAGAGGGAAGCGGAAUUCCAGGUGUAGCGGUGGAAUGCGUAGAGAUCCGGAGGAACACCAGCGGCGAAGGCGGCAUCCUGGACUGGUCCUGACGCUCAGGAGCGAAAGCGUGGGGAGCGAGCCGG
rnacentral:rRNA from 1 species